GACGGGCCUGGAAACGACGAACCCUCGCACGAAAGAAACCUCACCACCGAGGCUGCCCUCAUCUAUUCGCUACAACGACGGGAGCCAUGCCGCCGCCGCCACCGCGAUCCCUGAAACGCCGCCGAUCUAUUCGCUACAUCGACGGAAACCAGGCGCUAGCCACGGAUCCCUUUGCCGGCGCCGAGCAGUCAUCGAGGAGCCGGCGCCGAGGUCCUAAAGAGGCGCCGCCGCCAUCGUUGCAGGCCUCCGGGUCGCCAUCGGGACACCGCUGCCGAGAUCCGCCUUCGCCUUCGUCCGGCAGAGGCGGCGGAAGGCAGCCGGGAGGGGAAGCACACAACGACCCGGAAGACAUCCGCCCUCACGCGCUCAUCGUCUUGCUCGAUCUACCCGAGGGCUGCCGAUGGGCGCCUCGGCGGCGGCCACGGCGAGAUCUGCGUCUGGGACGUGACAAUCCCUCCACCCUGGUCGCCGGUGAGAUUUCACUGCCUCGAUCCUCCCGGUCCCAGUUUAUCAGGUCGUCCCUGACAAGAGGGAGCGAGAGAUGCUACUGCCGGGCACGUGCACGCACGUGGGGCGGCCGCCUGCGAGCGGGGCCGCGUCCUCUCUCCUUCGUCGACCAUGGCCUCCGAACCACUCCGUUGAGCGGUACCUCUGCGCCCAAGUGUCCGCUCCUCGAUCUUCAACAGAUUUGUUAUCUCCUCUCUUCCGUUGCAGGUCAAUCCCAAUUUGAUUUCUUAUCUGCUACGUAUAUUGCAUUUGUUCUCCCAAAUGGGUCAGCGUGCCUUCUGUGUCAAAAUUUGGAGAUGUAGUUCUGAAAACCAAUGAACAAGGAGAAAUUUGGAGAUGUAGUUCUAAAAAACAGUGAACAAGAAGCACAUGGGAGCCGCUCAAUGCUCUACUAUUGAAAGUUGAGUAGGUGAUUAUGAGAUGAAGACGCUGGAAGAAGUUGGUGUGGUUGUUUCUCAGUGAAACUUAUCUGUAGUCAAGUCAUACCCAGCCCGUUGACCAUCAUCCGAAUGCUUCUGAUAAUAACCAAGUGUUUUCUAUUGAAUAUGUUACAAUCCAUUCUGAAGCAAACUGAGUUACUAGCAGUUUAAGAAGAUGUUAUACACCUGACUGAUGAAGAUCUUUUUUAUAUCCACAAGGCAUUUCAUGACGAUCCAAGUAUAUUGCUGAUCAAAUAGAAAAUAUGUAAUUUUCUGUUUCGGUAAUAAACGGGCAAUUCAACGUAUAGCUGGGGCAGCCUGAUUUCCUCUUACACAUGCCCGCUAGCAGCAGCAGUUACGACCAGGCGGUUGCGGCCUGACUUGGCGGCUCUUCCUUUUUGUUUUGUGUUUGAAUCAGAUUUGGUGGUCUCGAUUUUACAGGCAUGUGUUGAUCUUGGCCUUGUUCUGUAUGCAGGUAGGGUACACUUGAUGUUUCAUGUUUGGUGAAAGAAAAGGAGCCUCCUAUGUUGAUUUCGGGCAAGACAUACAUUAUGCCAUGCAUUAGUAGAUCAAUUGCUUCUCUGUGUAGGGGAACGAUUAGUGAUUGAAUCUCUCUGUCUCGUUUCUUGAUUAUCCAAUUAAUUUACCCUCAUCUAUGCAUAAAUUGGUCCGAUUGAGUUAUGCCAUUUUUCUAAUAAUCUAUAUUGGUUCUAUAUAUGACUAGAACAAUAUGAUACGAUGCACAUCGGUCCGCUUUACUGGCAGUUAUCUUUCAAGAUGGAGGGGAGGCACUCGUGUGGACCUGCUCAAUGUUCGAGGAGAUACGGCUGACUAAACAAGUCAAAUCAAGUCAAUUUGCAACUUUGGUGUUGUGACGUUGGAGGCCGUGCUCAACAGCAAUGGGGGAUUGUUCGUUGAUGCCCGACCCAUGAUGCCGGCGAAGGAAUGAGAGUCGACGAGGAGUGGACACCAUGGGUUUGUGAACUGGCGAAGCCUCCGUUGUCCAUUUGGUAAUGUCCGACCCAUCAGAGGCAUAGUAUGACUUGCCCCGAUUAUGAUGUCGUCUACAAACAUCCGACGGAGGGGAACCCGUCCCAGUUUCCAUCUUGAUGUUUCAGUUGUUGAGCUCUGCACUAUAAAACCGAGAAAUACCCAAGGCUUUUUACAGACUACAAAUAGAGGGAAGUUUGCAUGUGCCUUACUAGAGACAGAUGAACCAAUAAAAUGAUUGGAAAGGUUCUUCCCAAGCAAAAGAUUACCUAUGAUGAAAAUUACAUUCUCUGCGGGCGCUGAUUCAGAUAUAUUACUAUGGGCAAAGGAAGUUCAAAAUUUAUCUCAAUCAAACAUGUGCAAAGGAAAAUUCAAAAUAUGUUAUGUCAGGAAAAGAUUCUUAAACCAGUGAAGUAUCUAGAGGGCUUAUUAGGACACUGCUCAUAUUGUUUGAUACUUUACCAUCUGGGGAUUAGGCUAUCGGUGAACACGACAAUGUGGCUGUUGGUCACGGAUGCCGGGGGCGUGAGCGGGGUUGAGGAGCUCACAUGGUGCUAUACAUGACGACCUGCGAGUGGUGGCAGGAGGUGGCAUGCCUGCUACUUGGCUGGAAGUCCGACAUGAACUCCCACGACCGGCUGUAAGCAUGGUUGUGAAGACCUUCCAGCAUUACCCCAGGAAGCUAACACAUCAGCUUGUGCCAUACGUGGUGUUUUCUUGUUGAUGAAUGUUGGUCUAGGUAAUUUCUUUGAUGAACCAUGUGACAAUUAAUAAAGUUAAUAAAGGACA